GGACGAGACAUAUAGUUUGUGAUCAAGUAUGUUAUUGUAAAGAAAUAAUCAUGGUAACAAGUAUAUUUCACGCAUAAUAAUAGACGUUUAAGAGUAUUUGUCUUUUAGGUGAAGUGCUUGCAUGGAUCUAUAGAAAUUACAGACCAAGUUAAUAAGAGCUAUUGGUGGAUGCCUUGGCAUUGACAGGCGAAGAAGGACGCAAAUACCUGCGAAAAGCUCCGGCGAGCUGGUGAUAAGCAAAGACCCGGAGGUAUCCGAAUGGGGAAACCCGGUAGAGUAAUAGACUACCAUUGCAUGCUGAAUACAUAGGUAUGCAAAGCGACACCUGCCGAACUGAAACAUCUUAGUA
rnacentral:rRNA from 1 species